rnacentral:rRNA from 1 species
UAGUUGUUUGAUCAUGGCUCAGCCUUUGACUUAAAAAAAUGGAGAAGUCGUAACAAGGUAGCCGUAAGUCGUAACAAGGUAACCGUAGAGUUUGAUCAUGGCUCAGGAAAGUCGUAACAAGUAGCCGUAAAGUUUGAUCCUGGCUCAGGCAAGACUUAAAAAUGGAACUCGUAACAAGGUAACUGUAUGUCGAAACAAGGUAACCGGAAACUUUGAUCAUGGAUCAUGCUUUGACUUAAAAAAAUGGAAAAUGCAUAACACGGUACCCGGAAAUCUGAAUUCUGAAACCAGCUACUCGAGCCUAGAGUAGCUGUAA